rnacentral:miRNA from 1 species
AACUUUAAUCAAGGUGCUGUAAGUGAAAACAUCAGGCUGGCAAAGAGGAAGCUUCUUCAUCUCAUUAAGAACCAAAAAUGCCUCAUCAAUCAAGUUGCUCCUACAAUACGCCGAGAGCAACGCCGUG